CCACCUGCAAAAUCAUCCGAAUUUAGUCAACAAACUCGAAUGGCAUCAUGCAACCGACGCUCACACCAGUAUUCCUCACCCACCCUCGAACCACCGCUAAAUUCCUCAUAUUUCGCGCCAACCUUCGAGAAAAAUGGAUCAAUUCCCACACUCACAACAAUGCUAGUCUUCGUGCUAGAUUCUCCGUUCUCCCUAAUUAUCGCUCUUAUUCUCUUUAUUCUUUUCUUCCGCUUUGCUCUAGUUAUCUUCUUUCUUGUCCUUCUCUUCGCUCUCUGUUCCAAUCUCGUUUUCCUCAUCUCCGAUCUCCUUUGUCCCCCAUGACCACUCCUCCUCAAGCCAAUUCUGACCCACCUCAGUCUACCUCUUCCAAGAAAACGGUGAGGGCUGUGAUCAAGGGGAGGGUGCAGGGAGUGUUUUAUAGGGAUUGGACAGUGGAGAAUGCUACCCAGUUGGGAUUGAAAGGUUGGGUGAGGAAUACAAGGGAUGGUUCAGUAGAAGCUCUUCUUUCUGGGGAUUCUGAUAAGGUCCAGGAGAUGGAGCAGAGGUGUCGCCGUGGCCCACCUGAUGCUAUGGUUACUGGCUUCCAGGUUUUCCCUUGCGAUGAUGAUCCUGGAACUGGGUUCCAGCGUAAACCAACUGUUUGAUUUAUCCAUGUGAAUAUGCUUUACAAGCGGAUUGCUAGUUUAGUAUUAUACAUCUUGUCCUACAUGAAUUUUAGUUUCAAACCCUUUUUAUGGAAAUAAGGAGGAUAUAUAUGUAUAUUGCCGUAGUUCUGACUGUUGAAUUACGCUGGAACCCAGUUCCAGGAUCAUC
rnacentral:misc_RNA from 1 species